ensembl:lncRNA novel transcript
UCUCUAAAUUUCUGUUUUCCCUGAUGCUUCCAUGCAUGUUUACCAUAGCUACUGUCGACUCUUCUUCUCCUGGGAUAGCAGCAGAGAUGCUUCAGUAUAAAAGUAUGAGAAUAACUGCGUUAAAAGACGGGAACUUAGCUUUGUUGAAAGAUCCUCAUGAUCCAUCUGAAUCACCAGCGAGGUUCAGCCUGAAAUGGAGAAAGCAGAGCAUCUCAUCUAAAAACAGCAUCUCCAAUUUCUUCCUGUUUCAGAAAUUAAAAUCAUAAGGAAAAAAUCUUAUUGUCUUGGCUCAGGUCACUUGACACUUGAACCAAGGAAAGUCUGCAGUCAUAAGCUGGCCUCAACACACUGAAGUAUAUUCAGCAUUAUAAACACACUGAAACACCAAAAAGGCUGAGAUGCACAUAAUUUGAAGAGUGAAAAUGGCUCGAGAGCAUGAAGUCUCAUUAUCUGUAGGCCAUUUUCAGGCUGCUGAUAAAGACAUACCUGAGACUGGGAAGGAAAAGAGAUUUAAUUGGACUUACAGGUCCACAUGGCUGGGGAGGCAUCAGAAUCAUGGUGGGAAGAGAAAGGCACUUUUUCCAAGGCAGAGGCAAGAGAGGAAUGAGGAGGAUGCAAAAGCAGAAAACCCUGAUAAACCCAUGAGAUCUAGUGAGAUUUAUUCACUAUCACAAUAAUAGCACAGGAAAGACCUGCCCCAUGAUUCAAUAACUCCCUCUGGGUCCCUCCCACAACACAUGGGAAUUCUGGGAGAUAAAAUUCAGAUUGAGAUUUGGGUGAAGACACAUCAGAACCAUAUCAUUCCUCCCCUGGGCUCUCCAAAUCUCAUGUCCUCACAUUUCAAAACCAAUCAUGCCUUCUCAACAGUCCCCCAAAGUUUUAACUAAUUUCAGCAUUAAUCCAAAAGUCCACAGUACAAAGUCUCAUCUGAGACGAGGCAAGUCCCUUCUGCCUAUGAGCCUGUAAAAUCAAAAGCAAGCUAGUUACUUCCUGGAUACGAUGGGGAUUCAGGUAUUUGGUAAAUACAGCAGUUCCAAAUGGGUGAAAUUGGCCAAAAUAAAGGGGUUACAAGGCCCAUGCAAGUCUGAAAUCCAGUGGGUCAGUCAAAUUUUAAAGCUCCAAAAUGAUCUCCUUUGACUCCAGAUUUCACAUCCAGAUCUCACUAAUGCAGGAGGUGCGUUCCCAUGGUCUUGGGCAUCUUUGCCCCUAUGGCUUUGCAGGGUACAGCCUCCUUCCUGGCUCCUUUCACAGGCUGGCAUUGAAUGUCUGUGGCUUUUCCAGGUGCACAGUACAAGCUGUCAGUUGAUUUCAGUUGAUCCACCAUUGUGGAGUCUGGAGGAUGGUGGCCCUCUUCUCACAGCUCCACUAGGCAGCGCCCCAGAAGGGACUCUGUGUAGGGGCUCCAACCCCACAUAUCCCUUCCACACUGUCCUAGCAGAGGUUCUCCAUGAGGGCCCCACCCCUGCAGCAAACCUUUGCUUGGGCAUCCAGGCAUUUCCAUACAUCAUCUGAAAUCUAGGCAGAGGUUCUCUAACUUCAAUUCUAGACUUCUGUGCACCUGCUGGCUCAACUCCAUGUGGAACCUGCCAAGGCUUGGGGCUUUCACCCUCUGAAGUCACAGCCUGAGCUCUAUGUUGGCCCCUUUCAGCCAUGGCUGUGACACAGGGCAACAAGUCCUUACCCUGCACACAGCACGGGGAUCCUGGGCCUGGCCCAAGAAACCACUCUGUCCUCCUGAGCCUCUGGGCCUGUGAUGGGAGGGGCUGCCAUGAAGGUCUCUGACAUGGCCUGGAGACAUAUUCCCCAUGUUCAUUGGGAUUAACAUUAGGCUCCUUGCUACUUAUGUGAAUUUCUGCAAUUGGCUUGAAUUUCUCCCCCUGAAAAUAGGUUUUUCUUUUCUAUCACAUAGUCAGGCUGCAAAUUUCCCAAACUUUUAUGCUCUGUUUCCAUUUAAAAAUAGAAUGCCUCUAACAGCACCCAAGUCACCUCUUGAAUGCUUUGCUGCUUAGAAAUUUCUUCUGCCAGAUACCCUAAAUCAUCUCUCUCAAGUUCAAAGCUCCACAAAUCUCUAGGGCCACCAGUAUCUUUGCUAAAACGUAACAAGAGUCACCUUUGCUCCAGUUCCCAACAAGUUCUUUAUCUUCAUCUGAGACCACCUUAGCCUGGAGCUUACUGUUCAUAUCACUAUCAGCAUUUUUGUCAGAGCCAUUCAACAAGUCUCUAGGAGGUUCAGACUUUCUCACAUUUUCCUGUCUGCUUCUGAGCCCUCCAAACUGUUCCAACCUCUGUCCGUUACCCAGUUCUAAAGUUGCUUCCACAUUUUCGGGUAUCUUUUCAGCAAUGCCCCACUCUACUGGUACCAAUUUACUGUAUUAGUCCAUUUUUGUGCUGCUGAUAAAGACAGAUCUGAGACCGGGAAGAAAAAGAGCUUUAGUUGGACUUACAGUUCCACAUAGCUGCAGAAGCCUCAGAAUCAUGGUGGGAGAUGAAAGGCACUUCUUACAUGAUGGUGGCAAGAAAAGAAUGAGGAAAAAGCCAAAGUGGAAACGCCUGAUAAACCCAUCAGAUCUCAUGAGACUUGUUCACUCAUAUUCUCAUGAGAAUAGCAUGAGAAAGACCAGCCCCCAUGAUUCAAUUGCCUCCCCUGGGUCCCUCCUGCAGCACAUGGGAAUUCUGGGAGAUACAAUUCAAAUCGAGAUUUGCGUGGGGGCACAGCCAAACCAUAUCAUCCCCUAAAU